AUUGAACGCUGGCGGCAUGCCUUACACAUGCAAGUCGAACGGUAACAGGUUAAGCUGACGAGUGGCGAACGGGUGAGUAAUGUAUCGGAACGUGCCCGGUCGUGGGGGAUAACUACUCGAAAGAGUGGCUAAUACCGCAUACGACCUGAGGGUGAAAGAGGGGGACCGUAAGGCCUCGCGCGCUUGGAGCGGCCGAUAUACGAUUAGCUAGUUGGCGGGGUAAAAGCCCACCAAGGCGACGAUCUAUAGCUGGUCUGAGAGGACGACCAGCCACACUGGGACUGAGACACGGCCCAGACUCCUACGGGAGGCAGCAGUGGGGAAUUUUGGACAAUGGACGCAAGUCUGAUCCAGCCAUGCCGCGUGCGGGAAGAAGGCCUUCGGGUUGUAAACCGCUUUUGUCAGGGAAGAAACGAGUUUCUCUAAUACAGAGACUUAAUGACGGUACCUGAAGAAUAAGCACCGGCUAACUACGUGCCAGCCGCCGCAGUAA
rnacentral:rRNA from 1 species